rnacentral:rRNA from 1 species
AUGUUGGUGAUGAACAAGUUCUCAAAUCUGCAUGCGGAAAACUUUCACUGGCCCAACUCGGCAAAUAUCGCCCUCAUCCCUAAGAAAGAUGGCGCCGAAGACAUCUCAGACUUCAGACCAAUGAGCCUGAUACAUGCCGUUGCAAAGCUCAUUGCCAAAAUCCUUGCAACAGUGUAUGUAUAA